rnacentral:rRNA from 1 species
AAUUGACCUCGGAUCAGGUAGGAAUACCCGCUGAACUUAAGCAUAUCAAUAAGCGGAGGAAAAGAAACCAACAGGGAUUGCCUCAGUAACGGCGAGUGAAGCGGCAACAGCUCAAAUUUGAAAUCUGGUCCUUUGGGGCCCGAGUUGUAAUUUGUAGAGGAUGUUUCGGGCGCGGCGAACGGUCUAAGUCCCUUGGAACGGGGCGUCAUAGAGGGUGAGAAUCCCGUAUGUGAUCGGCGACCAAGUCCAUGUGAAGCUCCUUCGACGAGUCGAGUUGUUUGGGAAUGCAGCUCAAAAUGGGUGGUAAAUUUCAUCUAAAGCUAAAUACCGGCCAGAGACCGAUAGCGCACAAGUAGAGUGAUCGAAAGAUGAAAAGCACUUUGGAAAGAGAGUCAAAAAGUACGUGAAAUUGUUGAAAGGGAAGCGCUUGCAACCAGACCUGCCCGCGGGCGAUCAACCGUCCCUUCCGGGGGCGGUGCACUCGACCGCGGUCAGGCCAGCAUCGGUUCGGGCGGCCGGAUAAAGGCCUCGGGAAUGUGGCUCCUCUCGGGGAGUGUUAUAGCCUUUGGCGCAAUGCGGCCAGCCUGGACCGAGGACCGCGCUUCGGCUAGGAUGCUGGCGUAAUGGUUGUAAGCGGCCCGUCUUGAAACACGGACCAAGGAGUCUAACAUCUAUGCGAGUGUUUGGGUGUCAAACCCCUACGCGUAAUGAAAGUGAACGGAGGUGGGAACCCGUUAGGGCGCACCAUCGACCGAUCCAGAUGUCUUCGGAUGGAUUUGAGUACGAGCAUAGCUGUUGGGACCCGAAAGAUGGUGAACUAUGCCAGAAUAGGGUGAAGCCAGAGGAAACUCUGGUGGAGGCUCGCAGCGGUUCUGACGUGCAAAUCGAUCGUCAAAUUUUGGCAUAGGGGCGAAAGACUAUCGAAUCAUUCUAGUAGCUGGUUCCACCCGAAGUUUCCUUUCAGA